rnacentral:rRNA from 1 species
CACGUAAACAACCUGCCUUCAGGAUGGGGACAACAGACGGAAACGACUGCUAAUACCGGAUAAGUUCCAAGGGCCGCAUGGCCCAUGGAAGAAAAGGUGGCCUCUACCUGUAAGCUAUCGCCUGAAGAGGGGUUUGCGUCUGAUUAGCUGGUUGGAGGGGUAGCGGCCCACCAAGGCGACGAUCAGUAGCCGGUCUGAGAGGAUGAACGGCCACACUGGAACUGAGACACGGUCCAG